rnacentral:lncRNA from 1 species
ACCAGCUCCACCUCACCUUCUUCUACAAGCUAUUUGAUCUGAUGAUACCUAAUAUCAAUGUGCUUCAUCCUCGUAUGGUAGAGUUAUGUGCAAGUAAUAGUGCACUCUGACGCCCUCCUGUGCGAGGCCCAUCUCCAACGUCAAGUUCUUCAGUCAUAAAGCCUCUUUUACUGCCUUCGUAACACCAAUGUACUCCAUCUCAGUCAUGA